rnacentral:lncRNA from 1 species
AUUUUUGAAGGUAGAUCAAGUAGCCACAAUUUCCUGUAGAAGUCCUUAUAGUCAGCUUGUAAAGCAUAAGCUCUAGGAUCAUUUGCAAUACUUUGUAAUAGUUUAUAGGCGCUACGUACUGUGAACUCACCCGACGCUUCAGCGCUCCAUACUUGGAAAUCUUCAUGUGGUCUUUCAGCUAGCGGGAUAUUGAGAAUCAUCUCGGCUACAUCCUCCGGAAAGGUAUACUCUAUCAACUCUUGUUUCCAUGUUCUACUGCUUGAAUCAAUUAAUUCCGCAACAUUACUAUCAUUCAAAUUCGUAUUUAAAACUGGUAAUCUAUCAUGCGGUAAAACUGGAAUCCAAUAACCACGACUGAUUGAAAUAUUUGUACCUUUACCCACCCUCCAACAUAAUCCCUCAGCUAAGACACCCUUAGUAGCCCAAAUACUUUUCCAAGUAUACGAAAUGUUAUUCCCCAAUUGUGAAUUUAAAAAAUCAACUUUUGGAAAAUACUUGGCUUUUAAUACUUAUGCUACUAAAGAAUUUGGAUUGUUCAAAAUACGCCACCCCUGUUUAGCUAGAAGGGAGAUAUUAAAUUGGGCCAUAUUUUUGAAACCCAAUCCACCCUCAUCUUUAGGAUGGCAUAAAUAUUUCCACUGACACCAAUGAAUACCUCUUCUUCUAUGCGCUUUCUGCCACCAAAAUUUAGCAAAUAUGUUUUCAAAUUCUCCACAAAGAGUCUUUGGUAGUAAGAAACACGGCAUAGCAUAGGUUGGAAUGGCCUGUAACACUGAUUUAAUAAAGACUUCUUUACCUCCUUGGGAUAACAAUCUAGUACUCCACCCAUUAAUCCUAGUAAAAAUCUUCUCUUUUAAAUGCUGAAAGGGUUCCUUUUUCUUCGACCAACCAUGUUCGGAAGCCUCAAGUAACGUUCUAAGUUUGUUGAGAUCCUAACCCUCAAGUUUUCCGAUGCUUCUUCCUUCUUCUCAUCAGAUGUAUUCGUACUAAAAAAUAUUGUAGACUUAUUGAAAUUAACACGUUGCCCAGAACACUCUCCAUAUUCCUUCAAAAAUCCUUUAGUACCCUAGCACCCCUAUCUGAUGCUUCCCCGAACAAAAUACAGUCAUCUCCAAAAAGCAAGUGUGAAAUUUCUGGACCUCUUCUGCUGGCUUUUGCACCUUUUAGCAUUCCCGCCGCUAAAGCCAUUCUCAUCAAAGCUGAUAAUCCCUUACUACAAAUCAAAAAUAGAAAAGGGCUCAAAGGGUCCCCUUGACGCAAGCCUCUAGAUGGUGAAAAGAUUCUUCCACUUCUUCCAUUAAUAUUAACUGCAUAAGAUUUCGUGGAAACACAAUUCAUAAUCAGCCUAACCCACUCUGAUGUGAAACCCAUUCGUAACAUUACUUCCUUCAAAUAUCCCCACUCAACCCUAUCAUAGGCUUUGCUCAUGUCAAUCUUUACUGCCAUAUAUCCUUUUUUCCCUGUAUGCUUCUGCCAAAAAGUAUGCAAGAUCUCAUAAGCUAGUAGCACAUUGUCUGUUAUUAGCCUUCCCGGAAUGAACGCACUUUGAGUUGCAUCAAUACAUCUUCCAAUAACUACUUGAAGUCGAUUUGCAAUUAUUUUUGCGACCAUUUUGUAGAUUACCGAACAUAAACUAAUGGGUCUAAAGUUAACAAUGCUUGUGGGAUUUUGGAUUUUUGGAAUCAGCACAAUAUCGGUAUGAUUGAAAUUACCAAAACUGGCGCCAUUAUUUAAGAUAUCCAAACAGAAAUUUGUUAUUUCCUUACCUAUAAUAUGCCAGAAUUUCUGAAAGAAAAUAGCUGGGAAACUGUCAUGUCCUGGAGCUUUUGUAGGUCCCAUUCCCUUUAGUGCCGCAUAUAGUUCAUCUGCUGUAAAUAUUUACAUUAGCUCUCUAUUAAUAUCUGUCGAAAUAUUUUCCUUUAUUCCCGAUAAAAGAUGUGAACAAUCCCCAACACCUUUUGUCGUAAAGAGCUCCUGAAAAUAGGAGGAAGCUACUUCAUUAAUCUCAUUCUCUUCAUUAGCUUCUCCUCCCUCAAACUUCUCCAACCUGGAUAUUGAAUUUAUACGUCUUCGAUAUGUAGCAAACCUAUGAAAAAAGGUUGAGUUCUUGUCCCCUAUUUUAAGCCAAUUCGCCCUUGCCCUUUGUUCCCAAUACAUUUCAUCUUUAUCUAUUUCCAUAUUCAGGUGGAUCUUGGUGUCAAUAAUUUCUACCAACGUGUUAUCAUUCCUCUCUUCUCCCAUUAACAUAUCAAGCUGCUUUGAUAACUUUUUCUUUAGUCAUUCUCUUUCUUUCUUAUUGUUCUCACCCAAACUAAUAAAUCUGUUUGCAAUUUUCCAAGUUUCUCGUCAAAAGUACCUGUUCCUGACUCCCAAGAUUCUCUGAUAGCUUUUUCGCACGUCUCUUCCAUUAACCACCACGCCUCAAAUUUAAACUUUGAAUUACCCUUAUAAUUACUAUCGCCAUCUGUACUAAUUAGAAGUGGACAAUGAUCAGACAUUGUGUAAGAGAGAUGAUUAACCCUACCUGCCGGAAAGAGGAGCCUCCAUUUAUUGUUUAUCACCCCCUAUCAAGUCUUUCUCUAAUAUUUGUCUCUGGUCAAUUUCCCCUUUCCCAUGUAAACCAUACUCCUGAAUACCCCAGAUCUUCUAAUUGACAAUUUUCUAGGGCCUCUCGAAAUGCAUGCAUUCUACGCUCGUCCCUUGGGACGCCCCCACAUUUCUCAAAAGAAUACAUGAUCUCAUUAAAGUCACCACUUACCAGCCAUGGAUAAUUCUUAUCUAGCCCCAAAUUCAUCAAUAGAUCCCAUGAAUCGCUCUUGUUGUGGACAUAUGGAGAACCAUAAAACCCUGUAAAUCUCCACUCUUCUUUAACCUGCUCAUCUUUAACCAAAACAUUAAUGUGAUUUUUUGAAAAACUCCGUAAACUAACUAUCAAAUCUCCUUUUCAUGCUAAGCAUAAUCCUCCUUUUGAGCCUUCAGCCUCAACAUCAAUUCCAUUCAUAAAACCGCAACUACGUCUAACUUUUUCCAUCUUUUGUUUAUCAAAUUUAGUCUCCAUUAAGAAGACCACUUGGGGAUUAUCCUGCUUAAGGAAAUAACGCAGCCUUCUUCCAGCUCGUGGACUCCCCAAUCCACGAACAUUUCAGCUUACGAUUUUCAUUGCGUCCGGUCGACUUGCCUAUUGGCAGCCGCUGAUCUCAGUAAGUCUUGCACCUCAAUUUGCUUAACGUUGUCUGUCAUCAUCACUUAAGGACCUUUAUCAUAAUCCUCUGCAAUAUUUUGUUUCAGCCUUUUAAUUACAUCUCUGUCUACACUUUCUUUAAAACAGCUUGUAAAAUCUACAUCUAAGGACUUCCUCUUCCUCAUGUAGUUUUCAGCUUUUAUUGUUGUUGCGCCAGAAUGUGUACUUCUCAGCAUCUCCCCCCCUUCCUUUAAUCUUAAAUUUUCCUGUGAACCCCCCAAAUCAGUGUAUCCUUCCUCAGCACUUUUUAUAAUAUUGGGCGUAUUUCUUUCCCCUCCAGUAUAAGAGCUUUGCACCCCCGUCUGCUUCAUCAAACUAUUAAAUUUCAUACUUUCUUUUCCAACUAAUCUUGAUUCUGCUUUUAAGGCGACUGAAUAAGGAGGAUUUUCACUAAUUUUGUUUUUCCUUGCAGGUGGUAUCUGAGUGCAAUUACUC